rnacentral:snoRNA from 1 species
AACCCAUGGUGAGGGCGCAUCUCAAUAAGUCCUUAUACCUCUCUCAUGCAUCAUAUAGGGUCUUUAAGUCAAUCUGAACGAAGGAAGAGAUAUCAUUCCUCAACUU